GAUAGAGUUGCCAUGGAAACGGAGCGCAACACUGCAAAUGUCACGAGGAAACACUCCGUUUCUCGCUGAUUUCACUGUUUUCAGGAAUGGUUUAAUGUCUUCGAAAAAGUCCGUUAGCAUUUCUACCGUUUUCAGACAGCGCGGUUAAAGUGACAAAAUAAUCCUUCUACAACAGAAGGCAGUGUCCAAGAUUUCAAUAUUUCUGAAGGGAGCUGCUGACAGAGAUGUAGGAAGCGCUGAAAAGGUUAAGUAACCUAAUAUGCAUUUUUUUCACAACAUAUAUCGCAAUGAAUCUGUUAUUUUAUUUAUUUAUUUUUUGCAUUUCACCUGCUCUAGCUUGUUUCCAUCUAAUAAACCUGGAACUGCAGACUAAAUAUUGUUGGCUCUGUGUCAAAUUGUUUGU